CUGGAACCCAGGGCUCUCAACAUUAUCUGAGAUAUGAGAGUAGCUGUAGACACUCCCAAUGACGGCCCCGAGGAAAUCGUGCUGACUCAGGUACAACAGAUUCAGUACCAUAUGGAAAAUGAAGUGUCAGGCCCCCACAGCUGUGCAAUGUAUUACCACUGCAAUAGGCUAUCAUUGUGCUUGGAGGAGAGAGCAUUUGAAAAAGGUCGUUUUAAUUUGUAAAACCAAAUAAGAAUGUGGAAGAUCUGAAGGGAAGGUACUGAAAUUAUAUCUAUCUUCAAAAUAUGAUUGGUUGGUAUUAUGACAAAGUAGUAUUCAUUUU
rnacentral:lncRNA from 10 species